UGGGGAAUAUUGGUCAAUGGGCGAGAGCCUGAACCAGCCACGCCGCGUGCAGGAAGACUGCCCUAUGGGUUGUAAACUGCUUUUAUACGGGAAGAAACCUCGCUACGUGUAGCGAGUUGACGGUACUGUAGGAAUAAGGACCGGCUAACUUCGUGCCAGCAGCCGCGGUAAUACGAAGGGUCCAAGCGUUAUCCGGAUUUAUUGGGUUUAAAGGGUGCGUAGGCGGCCUAUUAAGUCAGUGGUGAAAGCCCUCCGCUUAACGGAGGAACUGCCAUUGAUACUGAUGGGCUUGAGUACAGUUGAGGUUGGCGGAAUGUGUCAUGUAGCGGUGAAAUGCUUAGAUAUGACACAGAACACCGAUUGCGAAGGCAGCUGGCUAAGCUGUUACUGACGCUGAGGCACUAAAGCGUGGGGAUCAAACAG
rnacentral:rRNA from 1 species